rnacentral:rRNA from 1 species
GACGAACGCUGGCGGCGUGCUUAACACAUGCAAGUCGACAUGAGUAGCGAACGGGAGAGUAAUACGUGGCUAACCUGCCCUCCUUUUUGGGAUAAGCCUUGGAAACGGGGUCUAAUACCGAAUAAAGGGAGAUGGGCUUGAGGCCUAUCAGCUUGUUGGUGGGGUGAAGGCCUACCAAGGCGGUGACGGGUAGCCGGCCUGAGAGGGUGACCGUCAACAUUGGAACGGACAUACUGCCCAGGGAGGUAGCAGGGGGAGAAGUGGGGGAAAGUGCGCAAUGGGCGAAAGCCUAAUGCGGCGACGCCGUGUAGGGUAUGGGGGCUUUCGGGUUUUAAACCUCUUACGAAAUCGAGUGGGUAGCUGGAGAAAAAGCGCCGGCUAACUACGUGCCAGCAGCCGCGGUAAUUC